AAGGGAAGAUAAUAAGCACUCUGAAUGUAAACAAUCAAUUUAACGUUCUGACUUUUUAUUUCGCUCAGGGACCUAUAUAUGCAUAUUACAUAGUCAAUUUGUUGUCAACUCAUCAACUUACAUUUUAAGAUCCCCAGGUAUUGCAACCAUGGGUAGAAAAGAUGCAAAUAGCACGCACUCAGCACCUGUGGAUACAUAUAGGAAACAAAUAGGAAAACAUGAUUAUAAUAAGGAGAAGAGAAAACUUAAAGCUGCAAAAGCUGCUGCUGAUCUUAAGAAAUCCUCAUCACCUGUAAAGGACACAGUGAUGGUUCUUAUCACAGGUCUACUGUUAAUAGGUGGUUUAUAUGUGGGAUUGUAUUGGUAUUUAAACAAAGAGCUGCCAAGAUGAGAGAAUGAAGAUGCCUAAGUGUUAUAGCUUACAUAUCAUUUAAUUGGAAAGAUCAAUUUAAACGCACCCGGCCACUUUUUAUGAUAUUUUCCAUACCCCAGAUACUUAGUAUUACACCUGGGGUACUUUUUGGUAUUACCUGAGCUGUCAGUGACCUUUAAGCCUUAUUUGACGACUAUGCAUUUGCCUAUGAUGAAGUUAUACCAGUAUUAAUACUUGUUGUUAGUGAAAAUUAAUUAACUUUGAGAUUCAAACAUUUUGUUCCAUUUUAUGAUAGGCAAUGAAGAUCAAGUGACUGAGUAUUUACUCAAUAAAUGGUGUCAAUAUGUUGCAUCUUUUUAUAUACUAAAUGUUGCACAUAAAGGUGAAUACAUGUUUUAAUUUAAACAAUCUUUGAAUAUUGUGAUGAUUAGUUGUUAAUCUCUGAACAUAUAUUCGAUAAGUUUUGUUACUUUUAUGUUUUAUGUAUGUUAAACAAUAAUACCAUUCUGUAUUUUUGUUUUGUUAUGGGUUUGUUAACAUCGUUGUUGAAUAUAAUUAAAUUCACACAUUGCAUACUUGCCUUUUAUUUAUUUGAAUAUUAUUUACUUAUUGUAUGUGUAACCCAAAGAAUUUUCAUCUUUAUGUUAUAUUUAUAUGUCUAAAAUGCUUGUGACAUACAUUUUAAUUAAUACAUGUGUCUCAAUCAUAAGAUUUAAAUUUCAGUUUGUUUUUGUUUUUUUAGCUCAUCUAUUUUUUGAAAAAAAAUUAUGAGCUAUUGUCAUCACCUUGGCGUCGGCGUCCGUGUUGGCGUCAGCGUCCGGUUAAGUUUUGCGUUUAGGUCCACUUUUCUCAGAAAGUAUCAAUGCUAUUGCAUUCAAACUUGGUACACUUACUUACUAUCAUGAGGGGACUGGGCAGGCAAAGUUAGAUAACUCUGGCGUGCAUUUUGACUGAAUUAUAUGCCCUUUUUAUACUUAGAAAAUUGAAAAUUUUGGUUAAGUUUUGUGUUUAGGUCCAUUUUAUUCCUUAUGUAUCAAAGCUAUUGCUUUCAUACUUGCAACACUUACUAACUAUCAUAAGGGGACUGUGCAGGCAAAGUUAUGUAACUCUGACUGGCAUUUUGACAGAAUUAGGUGCCCUUUUUAUACUUAGAAAAUUGAACAUUUGGUAAAGUUUUGUGUUUAGGUCCACUUUAUUCCUACAGUAUCAAAGCUAUUGCUUUCAUACUUGCAACACUUAUUAACUAUCAUAAGGGGACUGUGCAGGCAAAGUUAUGUAACUCUGACUGGCAUUUGGACGGAAUUAUGGGCCCUUUAUACUUAGAAAAUUGAAAAUUUGGUUAAGUUUUGUAUUUUGGUCCACUUUACCCCUAAAGUAUCAUAGAUAUUGCUUUCAUACUUGGAACACUCGCAAACUAUCAUAAGGGUACAGUAAAAGGACAAGUUGCAUAACUCUGGUUGUCAUUUUUACGGAAUUAUGGCCCUUUUUUGACUUAGUAACUUUGAAUAUAUGGUUAAAUUUUGUGUUUCGAUCCACUUUACUUCUAAAGUAUCAAGGCUAUUGCUUUCAAACUUCAAAUACUUUCAUGCUAUCAUGAGAUUACUGUACCUGGCAAGCUUAAUUUUACCUUGACCUUUGAAUGACCUUGACUGUCAAGGUCAAAUUAUUAAAUUUUGCUAAAAUUGCCAUAACUUCUUUAUUUAUGAUUAGAUUUGAUUGAUACUUUAACAAAACUACUCUUACCUGACAUACCACAAUAGACUCCACCCAAACCAUCCCCCGUGCCCUCCCUCC